CGGCGGACGGGUGAGUAACGCGUGGGUAACUUGCCUCAUACAGGGGGAUAACAGUUGGAAACGGCUGCUAAUACCGCAUAAGCGCACAGUACCGCAUGGUACGGUGUGAAAAACUCCGGUGGUAUGAGAUGGACCCGCGUCUGAUUAGGUAGUUGGUGGGGUAACGGCCUACCAAGCCGACGAUCAGUAGCCGACCUGAGAGGGUGACCGGCCACAUUGGGACUGAGACACGGCCCAA
rnacentral:rRNA from 1 species